rnacentral:rRNA from 1 species
GUAGGUCCCGAGCGUUAUCCGGAUUUAUUGGGCGUAAAGCGAGCGCAGGCGGUUAGAUAAGUCUGAAGUUAAAGGCUGUGGCUUAACCAUAGUACGCUUUGGAAACUGUUUAACUUGAGUGCAGAAGGGGAGAGUGGAAUUCCAUGUGUAGCGGUGAAAUGCGUAGAUAUAUGGAGGAACACCGGUGGCGAAAGCGGCUCUCUGGUCUGUAACUGACGCUGAGGCUCGAAAGCGUGGGGAGCAAACAGGAUUAGAUACCCUGGUAGUCCACGCCGUAAACGAUGAGUGCUAGGUGUUGGGUCCUUUCCGGGACUCAGUGCCGCAGCUAACGCAUUAAGCACUCCGCCUGGGGAGUACGACCGCAAGGUUG